rnacentral:rRNA from 1 species
GGUUGACCUCGGAUCAGGUAGGGAUACCCGCUGAACUUAAAGCAUAUCAAAUAAGCGGAGGA